UACGUAGGGACCAAGCGUUGUUCGGAUUUACUGGGCGUAAAGGGCGCGUAGGCGGCGCAUUAAGUCACUUGUGAAAUCUCCGGGCUUAACUCGGAGCGGCCAAGUGAUACUGUUGUGCUAGAGUGCAGAAAGGGCAAUCGGAAUUCUCGGUGUAGCGGUGAAAUGCGUAGAUAUCGAGAGGAACACCUGAGGCGAAGGCGGGUUGCUAGGCUGACACUGACGCUGAGGCGCGAAAGCGAGGGUAGCAAACGGG
rnacentral:rRNA from 1 species